rnacentral:rRNA from 1 species
AACGAACGCUGGCGGCAUGCCUAACACAUGCAAGUCGAACGAGACCUUCGGGUCUAGUGGCGCACGGGUGCGUAACGCGUGGGAACCUGCCUUUAGGUUCGGAAUAACUCAGAGAAAUUUGAGCUAAUACCGGAUAAUGUCUUCGGACCAAAGAUUUAUCGCCUUUAGAUGGGCCCGCGUUGGAUUAGCUAGUUGGUGGGUAAAGGCCUACCAAGGCGACGAUCCAUGGCUGGUCUGAGAGGAUGAUCAGCCACACUGGGACUGAGACACGGCCCAGACUCCUACGGAGGCAGCAGUGGGAAUAUUGGACAAUGGGCGAAAGCCUGAUCCAGCAAUGCCGCGUGAGUGAUGAAGGCCUUAGGGUUGUAAAGACUCUUUUACCCGAGAUGAUAAU